GGAUGCGAUCAUACCAGCACUAAAGCACCGGAUCCCAUCAGAACUCCGAAGCUAAGCAUGCUUGGGCGAGAGUAGUACUAGGAUGGGUGACCUCCUGGGAAGUCCUCGUGUUGCAUUCC
rfam:Triticum aestivum genome assembly, contig: Triticum_aestivum_CS42_TGACv1_scaffold_060059_1BS